AAGGUUGAGCAACAGUGAUCUAGAGACGCCAUAAAAUAACUUUUGUAUUUGCACACACCAUUAGCAUAAGCUAAGACAGGGUUGCAUUGUUUAUGAGUCAGCAUGUGAUAGGAAACCAGCCACUGUCCUAAUAUGCUAUGUGCAUCAGGACAGCACCUUAACCUGUAAUAUGAUUUAUUUGGACAUAACAUGUUAUCUGAACAGAGCAAUCUUGUUUUCUUGACAGGGUGUAGCAUGCUGUCUGAGCACAGCUAAUGGAUCAUGUGAACAUAAUUCACAGAUAAACUUUUCAGACACCUUUCCUCCCCAGAAAAUGAGAGGAAGCUUUUGAGGGUGAGUAUAUCUGCACGUCACCUUCCCUUUAUUUGAAUAUAUCUGUCCCAUAUUGGGUUUUGAUAUGACAACAUUAUAGAUAGAUAGAUAGAUCUAUAGAACUAGGUUUAAUGACACAUACAGUAAAUGUCAAAUGUUUUAGAAGCAGAAGUAUGGAUAAUGUGUCUAUGCCAUUUUACCCUCUACAUCAUUUUAACCUGUCAUUUACUGGUGAUAUUCAUUCUCAGAAUAUAAAGACUAUCAGUGUGAUACAUUUUGCAAAUUGUCUAGAAUCUGAAGAACCUGCAAAGAAAGAAAGUACAAAAGGCGGUUUGUAAUAAGACACAGCAGUGUUCAGCUGUUCAAGAAAAGCAAUCACGCAGAAAGUGCAAGGAUUAUCCCCAACCACCAGUUUCUUCUCAUUUCUCCCCCACUUUCUUGCUGCUGACUGUUUUGAUCUGGGGUGGAGUGGCCCACUGUGAUCUGUGAGCUACUCCAGACUGUGUUGGGUGAGAAGUGUUAUCAUUAGGCCUACCAUCUCAAAUGAGAAAUACGUGGAUAAGUUGUUCUGUUGAUAGCUAACCGCAGAGGAAAAAAGGGAAUUGUUUCUUCCAGUAACCAAGGAGGAGGAGGUGAGGGCUUCUGCAGGAAGCAUAUGUCCACAGGAAUAUAACAACCACAUUUUCUUUGUUUGUUGCCUCUCUAUGUUGACAGUUGUCAAUCUCCCUGCCUUUUCUGAAACCUGUGAAAGAGUUCCUUUAAUCUUCUGCAAUUAUAGUCAAGCUGUUGUCAUCAAUUCCUUUUCAAAUAUUUCUUCCUCAAAGGCAUGUACACACCUUUGACAUUAUCCCAGUUUGGCUAUACAUCUUUUAGAUGUGGUUGAAGUUUACUUGGAAGGACUACAUGCUCCAGGAAGAAGCUGUCCAAUAUUUUGACAGGUGCAAGAUCAUAAUAAAUGAUUCAUCCUGCACUCUUGACUCUCUUACUUUCUCAUGUCUUUCCUGGGUUAAUGCAAAGUGGUGAUCUGGCAGUCUCUUGCUAUUUCAUAUCUAUAUAAACCAAAAAGUGGGGGGUAAGUCAAAGUGGAAAUAAACUAUAUGUAAGCUUCUCUCUCCUAGACUGAAUAUACCCUAAAAUCUUGUGUCCAAGGAACAUUGCUGAAGGCCUUCUGCUUCUUUAGCGUUCUCAUUCUUUAUGUGCUACUUCCUUCUUCUGGAUUUUGAGUUGAAUUCAAGUCCAGUGACAUAAAGGUUUUGACCCCUAGGAGUGUUAUGAAACAAUGGAUAAAGGGACACCAGAGAUAACUUCCUUUCUGAGCAGGUUUAACCAUCUUAAUGGAUGCUGAAUGAAAAGCAACAAUAUGAUUCCAGAGGCCUGUAUGGAGCCUGAGUGGUUUUUUAAUUAUUAUUUUGUCUUUUAGCACAUUGCGUUUGCCUUUCAAAAGAAAUAUAGUCAUGCCUAGAGGUGCAAUGGUAUGUGGGAAUGACGUUGGGAGGCAGGAGGAAGAGCUGCAGACUAGCCAAUGGUCAGACAAGCAGCAGCUGAGUCCGCAGAAGGAAUGGGGGUGUGGCAAACAUUUCAGAAGGGACCCUUCCUAGUUUCUUGGACUGUCAUGGCAAGGGGUGGGGGAGAUGUGCUUUCAGACUUGCAAGAUUCUGUUAAUGUAACCUUACAAUAAGGUUAGAGGUAGUGCUUCUGGGUGUACUUCUCAUCUGGACUACUCCGCAGGGCUGACAAGAGGGCACAAAGCUUCUAUGCCAAACUCUGACCAUAUGACCUGACAUACUCAGUAGAGGGAAUCAGGGGCGAGGGCUGUCUUGAUAUGGCUGCCUCGGGAAAGAGAAAGUUAAAUCAGUUUAAACCUGCCAGUGUUUUGCAAGUUGUAGCAGUUUAAGAGUAGUUUAAGAGAAUUUGGUUUAAGACAAGGAAACACUCUUCAUUGUUUUGUUUCGUUUUCUGACACUGAUGAAUGAAAGUGGCUACCUUCAAAAUGAAAAUGAAACCCAGAUUUCAGGAAUGAUGUAAGCAAGAUCAUCCUUCCCUUUAAAGAUGUGGUCAAAUUUUA